rnacentral:misc_RNA from 1 species
AAAGUCGUAACAAGGUUUCCGUAGGUGAACCUGCGGAAGGAUCAUUACUGCUUGCUGGCGGCGCUGCUCUGGGAAACCAAAGCCGCGCCAGGCAUGCCACCCUUGUCUAUAUAUACUCUUUGUUAUUUCCCUCGGUGGGGCAACCCGCCGCUGGGGACAAUCAAACCCUUUUGUAUUAAGUAUCAAAUCAUCAGAAACAAAAUUAAAUAAUUACAACUUUUAACAAUGGAUCUCUUGGUUCUG